GAUAAAGCAGUGCAGCUGGAGGAUGUACGCAAAACAAAAGGAGCUUAAAAGAAGCCUUGAUAGAAAGUUUUUGUCUUUCAUGUGUAGUAGUAACUCACUGUGAUGGUUGAUGGUAUUGAUGAGUCUUAGGCCGACAUAUGCAUGGUUGUUGGUCAUGAGCACGACAUCAAAGAGCUCCUCGCUGUCAGGGUAAAGCUCCCGCAGCUGAGUGUUCACAGCCUCCAGAGCCUGGGAACAAAACCAACAAACACAAUCUGAGUUAUUUAAAAAAAAAAAAAAAAAAAAAAAGAUAAUACUGUAUCAUUGCAGUGCGGAUGGAAGUGUGUGAGUGUUUGAGUGGGCUGAUGUUUAAUGCUUAUUACUCAUCCACCACCCCCAGAGACACGACCCAAUACGUAACACUGACACCAAGGAAUCACUCCACAUUGGGUUUGGUAUAGUGUGCAUGCGUGCGCCUGUGUAUAUUUCUCUCUCUCUCCCUCUCUCUCUCUCUCUCCUCAUAGGCUCUGACCUUGACAAAGGAGAAGGCAGGUCCAGGGUUGAAAGGCUCAGUCUCAUGCUCCACCUGAUACUUGAUGUAAUCCUCCAUGCCUUGCUGUUCGUAAAUCUGCUGCUCCUUCUCCAUGUUGAAGAGGACUCGUGCUGAAACAGCGAUGGUGAUGGCGUUCUCCGGCUUGGGCUGGAGGAUGAGAGGAUCUUCCCAUGGAUUGAAAUACGAGGCAGCAGUCCCAGUUGCCAGGCAACGGUCAGGGAGUCAGACCAGCUGGGACUCCCACAUCUAGGAUCUGAUUGGCUGUGGGGACACCAGACUGCCAGCCAAAUAUGGCAUCAAUCAGAGGAACAGACAGGUAAUUUACCAGCUACAGAUGGUUUCUGGGAAGACGUCACUGAGCAGCCAGCCUUGCGGGGACUCAAGGAACAAAAGGAUAAUAGAGACACGCCUGACGGGAAACAUGCUGGACACAGCUGCAUCCAUUACAGCCAUCAUCUUUAUUUAACUGUCAGCAUUACAAAGAGGUAGGAGGUUCAUCGCAGCGACAGCGAGGGGAUGUUAACAGUUGCGAAAGUUUAUCCUCCCACUUUCCAGGAACACAGAUGCACUUUAUGAGUUGCUCAAUUAAAGGCCUGUUACCUUAGAUGGAGCCAUUGUUCUGACGUGAUGUGAAGUUGUGUGCCAAAGG